rnacentral:lncRNA from 1 species
AUUUUUUAAACAAAAAAUAAUUUUUUUUUAUAUAUUGAAGGUAAUCUCACCUCAUAUAUACAAAAUAAUAAAAUUUAAAAAAUUAUUUUCUAAUUGCAUGCAACUAAACAAAGUAUUUGUAGUUGCAGCGCUUUAUACUAUAUCCAAUCAAACAUGAUGCAUAUAGUUAUAACUGUUGUAUUUUCAACUGCAUACAUCUUCAACUACACUUUAUGUGUAACUACAUCUAACAUCUAAUCAAAUAGUUUGUCGAGAAAUGGAGUAGGGUGAGUG